AAUGGGCGAAAGCCUGAUCCAGCCAUGCCGCGUGAGUGAAGAAGGCCUUCGGGUUGUAAAGCUCUUUCGGCGGGGAAGAAAUGGCACUUUCUAAUACAGAGUGUUGAUGACGGUACCCGCAUAAGAAGCACCGGCUAACUACGUGCCAGCAGCCGCGGUAAUACGUAGGGUGCGAGCGUUAAUCGGAAUUACUGGGCGUAAAGCGUGCGCAGGCGGUUGUGUAAGUCAGAUGUGAAAUCCCCGGGCUCAACCUGGGAACUGCAUUUGAGACUGCACGGCUAGAGUGUGGCAGAGGGGGGUGGAAUUCCACGUGUAGCAGUGAAAUGCGUAGAGAUGUGGAGGAACACCGAUGGCGAAGGCAGCCCCCUGGGCCAAUACUGACGCUCAUGCACGAAAGCGUGGGGAGCAAA
rnacentral:rRNA from 1 species